rnacentral:rRNA from 1 species
GAUGAACGCUGGCGGCGUGCCUAAUACAUGCAAGUCGAGCGAACAGACGCUGCUCUUGCUCCUCUCACGUUUGCCGCGGACGGGUGUGUAACACGUGUAUAACCUCCCUAUAUGUCUGGGAUCACUUCGGGAAUCCGGCGCUAAUCCCGUAUAAUAUCUUGAUCCGCAUGGUUCUUUAGUGAAAGUCGGUUUUUCUGUCUCUUCUAGAUGCUUCCGCGCCGCAUUAGCUAGUUGGUAAGGUAACGGCUUAUCAAGGCAACGAUGCGUAGCCGACGGGAGAGGGUGAUCGGACACACGGGAAGUGAGACACGGACCAGAGUACUACGGGAGGCAGCAGAAGGGAAGGGGACGCAAUGGGCGAAAGCAUGACGGAGCAACGCCGAGUGAGAGAUGAAGGUCUUCGGAUCGGAAAACUCUGUUAUUAGGGAAGAACAAAUGUGUAAGGAACUAAGCACGGCGUGACGGUAACGAAUCAGAAAGCCACGGCUAACUACGUG